GUGGGGAAUUUUGGACAAUGGGCGCAAGCCUGAUCCAGCCAUUCCGCGUGCAGGAUGAAGGCCUUCGGGUUGUAAACUGCUUUUGUACGGAACGAAAAGCCUCUGGUUAAUACCCGGGGGUCAUGACGGUACCGUAAGAAUAAGCACCGGCUAACUACGUGCCAGCAGCCGCGGUAAUACGUAGGGUGCGAGCGUUAAUCGGAAUUACUGGGCGUAAAGCGUGCGCAGGCGGUGAUGUAAGACAGUUGUGAAAUCCCCGGGCUCAACCUGGGAAUUGCGCUUGUGACUGCAGUGCUGGAGUGCGGCAGAGGGGGAUGGAAUUCCGCGUGUAGCAGUGAAAUGCGUAGAUAUGCGGAGGAACACCGAUGGCGAAGGCAAUCCCCUGGGCCUGCACUGACGCUCAUGCACGAAAGCGUGGGGAGCAAACAGGAUUAGAUACCCGGGUAGUCC
rnacentral:rRNA from 1 species